rnacentral:rRNA from 1 species
UGAACCGUAGGGAGGUUCAGGAACAAGAGCUGGGGCAAGACCGGUGCCAGCCGCCGCGGUAAUACCGGCAGCUCGAGUGAUGGCCGAUCUUAUUGGGCCUAAAGCGUCCGUAGCUGGCCUUGCAAGUCCGUCGGGAAAUCCACCCGCUCAACGGGUGGGCGUCCGGCGGAAACUGUGAGGCUUGGGACCGGGAGGCUUGAAGGGUACGUCCGGGGUAGGAGUGAAAUCCCGUAAUCCUGGACGGACCGCCGAUGGGGAAACCACUUCAAGAGAACGGAUCCGACAGUGAGGGACGAAAGCUAGGGUCUCGAACCGGAUUAGAUACCCGGGUAGUCCUAGCUGUAAACGAUGCCUGUUAGGUGUGACUCCCACUACGAGUGGGUGUUGUGCCGUAGGGAAGCCGCUAAACAGGCCGCCUGGGAAGUACGUCUGCAAGGAUGAAACUUAAAGGAAUUGGCGGGGGAGCACUACAACCGGAGGAGCCUGCGGUUUAAUUGGACUCAACGCCGGACAUCUCACCAGCAUCGACUGUGGUAAUGACGGUCAGGUUGAUGACCUUACCCGAGCCACAGAGAGGAGGUGCAUGGCCGCCGUCAGCUCGUACCGUGAGGCGUCCUGUUAAGUCAGGCAACGAGCGAGACCCGCAUCCUUACUUGCCAGCAGCACCGCGAGGUGGCUGGGGACAGUAGGGAGACCGCCGUGGCUAACACGGAGGAAGGAACGGGCAACGGUAGGUCAGUAUGCCCCGAAUAUGCUGGGCAACACGCGGGCUACAAUGGCCGAGACAAUGGGUUCCAACGCCGAGAGGCGACGGUAAUCUCAGAAACUCGGUCGUAGUUCGGAUUGUGGACUGAAACUCGUCCACAUGAAGCUGGAUUCGGUAGUAAUCGCG